GACGAACGCUGGCGGCGUGCUUAACACAUGCAAGUCGAACGGAAAGGCCCUGCUUUUGUGGGGUGCUCGAGUGGCGAACGGGUGAGUAACACGUGAGUAACCUGCCCUUGACUUUGGGAUAACUUCAGGAAACUGGGGCUAAUACCGGAUAGGAGCUCCUGCUGCAUGGUGGGGGUUGGAAAGUUUCGGCGGUUGGGGAUGGACUCGCGGCUUAUCAGCUUGUUGGUGGGGUAGUGGCUUACCAAGGCUUUGACGGGUAGCCGGCCUGAGAGGGUGACCGGCCACAUUGGGACUGAGGUACGACCCAGACUCCUACGGGAGGCAGCGGUGGGGAAUGUUGCACAAUGGGCGGAAGCCUGAUGCAGCAACGCCGCGUGCGGGAUGACGGCCUUCGGGUUGUAAACCGCUUUCGCCUGUGACGAAGCGUGAGUGACGGUAAUGGGUAAAGAAGCACCGGCUAACUACGUG
rnacentral:rRNA from 1 species